AUAAAGUGCCUGAUAAAAGGAUCAAUUUGAUAGAUUGAAUUAUGAUAG
rnacentral:tRNA from 1 species